rnacentral:rRNA from 1 species
AAACUUUAUGGUCAAGCUACUAAGAGCAUACGGUGGAUGCCUUGGUGCAGGAAGGCGAUGAAGGACGUGGCUAGCUGCGUUAAGCUCCGGGGAGCCGCUAAACAGGCUUUGAUCCGGGGAUUUCCGAAUGGGGAAACCUAUCUCGACAAACUCGGGAUAUCUUCAUCUGAAUACAUAGGGUGAAGAAGCGAACCUAGGGAAGUGAACCAUCUCAGUACCUAGAGGAAAAGAAAGCAACCGCGAUUCCCUAAGUAGCGGCGAGCGAACGGGGAACAGCCUAAACCACAUACAUGUAAUAGCUCGUGUGCGUUGUGUAUGUGGUGUCAUGGGGCUUAACACGACUUUGGCACGAAAAAGUCAAAGAGUUACAAAAGGCAAUUUUAGCAGAAUACCCUGGGAAGGGUAACCAUAGAAGGUGAUAGUCCUGUAAGCGAAAGGAUUGUCUCUCUUAGUUAAGUUCCCAAGUACCACGGGACACGAGGAAUCUUGUGGGAAUUUGGGAGGACCAUCUCCUAAGGCUAAAUACUAACCUGCGACCGAUAGUGAACAAGUACCGUGAGGGAAAGGUGAAAAGAACCCCUGUUAGGGGAGUGAAAUAGUACCUGAAACCGUAUGCUUACAAGCAGUCGGAGCCUUGAUUCGUCAGGGUGACGGCGUGCCUUUUGCAUAAUGAGCCGGCUAGUUAUUCUAUGCGGCGAGGUUAAUCUUCUGACGAAGAGGAGCCAUAGCGAAAGCGAGUCUGAAUAGGGCGUUUAGUCGUGUGGAAUAGACGCGAAGCUGAGUGAUCUACCCUUGGCCAGGGUGAACUUCGGGUAACACCGAAGGGAGGCCCGAACCGGUGUCGGUUGAAAACGGCUCGGAUGAGCUGAGGGUUGGAGUGAAAGGCUAAUCAAACUCAGUGAUAGCUCGUUCUCUCCGAAAUAGCUUUAGGGCUAGCCUUGCAUGAUUGGUAAGGGAGGUAGAGCACUGGAUGGCCUAGGGGCUCGAAAGAGUUUCCGAAUCCAACCAAACUCCGAAUUCCCUUAACCUCAGUGCGGGAGUUAGACUGCUAGGGCUAAGCUUGGUAGUCAAAAGGGAAAGAGCCCAGAUCGUCAGCUAAGGUCCCUAAAUGCAAGCUAAGUGGGCAAGGAUGUGAAGAGGCCGAGACAGCCAGGAGGUUGGCUUAGAAGCAGCCAUCCUUUAAAGAAAGCGUAACAGCUCACUGGUCAAGUGUUUUCGCGCCGACAAUGUAACGGGGCUAAGCUUGCUACCGAAGCUACGAUUUGUCAAAGCUUUCGGGCUUUGACGAAGGUAGGAGAGCAUUCUAAUUUGAGUGAAGCCUUGAUGUGAGUCAGGGUGGACGGAUUGGAAGAGACUCUGCCGGCAUAAGUAGCGAUAAUUCCGGUAAAAACCCGGAACGCCGAAAAUCUAAGGUUUCCUGAGGAAGGCCAGUCCGCUCAGGGUUAGUCGGUCCCUAAGCCGAGGUCGAAAGACGUAGGCGAUGGACAGCAGGUCAACAUUCCUGCACCACCUGAAAAGCGUUUGUACGAUGGGGGGACGCGGACGGAUAAGCAUACACACGGUUGGAAAUGUGUGGCCGCCAGGUAGAGGGAGUUUCCAGGCAAAUCCGGAAGCUCAUUAACCUCGAGCACGGCGGGGAAGAUUGCCUUCGGGCUUUCCAACUUGCUGAAUCCAUGCCGCCAAGAAAAGCCUCUAAGGAGUUUUUUAGGUGACCGUACCGUAAACCAACAC